ensembl:misc_RNA Metazoa_SRP Metazoan signal recognition particle RNA
GCCGGGCAUGGCGGUGUGUGCCUAUAGUCCCAGCUACUUGGGGGGCUGAGGUGGGAGGAUCGCUUGAACCCAGGAGGUUGAGGCUGCAGUGAGCUGACACUGUGCCACUGCACUCCAGUCUGGGUUACAAAGUGAGACCCUGUCUCAA